ACCACUCCGGAUCACCAAGACACAAAGGUCGAAAUAUGCAACUAAUGGCUUGAUGGAUGGGGAGGAGGACCAUGAUGACCUGGCCUUCACAUAAUUAUUAGCAUACCAUGAAUCAUUGCUUGUUAAUGUCAGUAAAAAUGCAGGAUGAUGUCGUUUCCGAUGUCUUGCCAGGCUGCUGUAUCUGAACAUUUGGAUCCCCUAUUUGGGUAAAAUCGUUUCCACUUUACAAGUUUCUUUCUACUUCAUUUGGUUAGUUAUCAUGGUGGUUAAUUUCUUCUUGUUUGUUUUUGUGAGCGGUGCAACUUCCUUGUGCAUGACAAAAUAAUUCUGUCCAAAUAAUUCGUUCUUUGAGCAAAGCAACUUCGUUGGGGAUGCCAAAAGAAGUUUCAGUUUUCUUACUAAUUCACCGCGAUUGGUAAGGAUAGAACAAUGAGAGUUUUCCUUAUCUUGAUUUUGUACUGAACAUAAUCAUUUAUGGAAGGCCUUCAAAUAGUUCUAUAUAGUAUAUCAACGAGGAACAUUAUGAAGCUCUUGGGGCGUUCUCUCUUAGUAUUACAAUCUAAAUCCUUGUUGUGUUUGUAAGAAAUUGUGUUAAACAUGGUUAUUAGCUUAUUGGAUCUUGAACAAACUGCAUUACAUGUGCAGUAAUUUUAGUGUCUAGACAUGCAUACUCUGUUAUGUUAGAUUUAGGAGAAAGAGUUAUUUUAUUCAUUCAUCCGUAUUUUUUGGCUAUAAUGCAAAUCUAUUUUUUAUCUAUUGAUCUUCUUUGCUUCAGUUGUGCUCUUGUUACUUUGUUUGUAAGUUAGCAUGACAGAAUUUUUCAUGCUAAAAUGAUUCAUGGUUGCAGGCUGCCGUGACACUAAACUGGCCCCCCCCCUAGAAACUGACAAAAAUUUACUUUUGCAGCUAUGUAGUCUUCUCAAAUCCAUGGUUUAAUCGCCUGAAUUUCUUGAGAAGCUUGACCCAUUCACAAGCAUGUAGCAUCAUGCGACACACAUGAAUAUAUCGGUCACACGUUCAUGCAACCAGCUGAUGCCAGACACAUAUGAAUCCGCCGCCCGUGCGUUGAUGGGGACGCCUCGCGUCUGGAUAGAGGCGACACACCUAGACGCCAUCCUGCCUCACGCACACACGAGCCAGAUCGGUCCAUCCUUCAUUCAGGUCCAUCUUUACAGUAGUUUUCGUACUUCACACUUUGGAAGCAAAAUCAUGUAAGUUAUCUAUUAGAGAUGGUGUACAAAUAAAAAUACAUGUUUAGAAAUCAGAUUCACCACAAAACAAACAAAUACAACAAAUCCAUCGUGAAUGAAGGAUUCUCUCAAAAUAAUUUUGUCGGCCUUUUUACUUGUUCCAACUUCCGAGCACCUAUUGAUGUGAAACCACGGCAACAUGAUAGGUGAUACUAAGUUAUGUUGCGAGAAAUGAAAUAGUUUGUGUCAACAAGAAGAGAAACUUCAUGCAGAUCCACGAGCUGGCCGGGGCAGCUUGGUUUCCUCCUACGUGUGCGGGGUCUGCACUGUAAUGUAUGUGUGUUACAAUGACAACGACGAGAAUGAGAAGGUUAACUUGGUUUUUAUUAGUUGUAGACAUAGUUUCAAAUAGCCGGCUAUAGCCCCGCUAUAGCCUUGCGAUAGCCUUUUCAGCAGGGUGCCGCUAAAUGGUAUCAUGUACAAAUAUGCCGCUAUAGCUGAUUUUCAGGCCUGCCGCUAUUUGCCAUAGCCCACUAUUUAAAACAUUUGCAGUGUCAUUGCCCUUGUUUCCUCUUAUGUUUCUAUGAUUAGAGUUUUGGACUGACGAUUUGCAGAGUAGUGGUGAGGAAUUGUUGUUAUGAUUUAUGAGGUCCAGUGCCGGUGACCAGAUAACUCUAGCAAGUGUUCAAAAUUCAUGUACAAACAGAACGACGGGUACCCCCCCCCCCGCGUGCGCCCAAACUCACUUUGUAAUGUUGAUAUGAAGGCAUUGUUGUACUCUUUAUCUUCCAAUUUUGUGGCUUGAGAAGUAUGUGCAGUUUUACUUUCCUCUCUUUUAAUUUCAGUUUAACCACUCAUAGGUUUGAAUAAGAAAUGCAUAGGGCACAUGGAAAUGUUAUGAUAUAUUUCAGAGAUUGUGUUUUGGGCCACAAGUUGACAAACAUCUAGCACUUUGUGAACAAUGUCCAUAGAACGAUGGGGUUGCGAUGGCCUGGAGAUGAAGGUACGGUGGUGUCCUGACCAUGAGAGCAUAACAAUGGUGGCCUGAAUAUUAUGCUUAGUGAAGUCAUUUUUUCACCAUUCACCAAUCUGAAAUUAGUUAUUCAGACAAAGUAAGUUUCUGGCAAAGCAUACUUCAUAGUUAUAUUCGACUAAAAUUUUCUUCAGUUUUUUGUUCUAUCUAAUUGACACUUUUUUUGUAUGUACAGAGUUUAUGGUAGAGAGACCUUUGUUUGUACUGACUAUUGAAUUUUGUCCUUUAUAUUUCCAAACUCUUUUGUUAUGUUCUUUACUCUCGAGUCCAUACUUUCAAGAUUUUUUGUUCUUCCAGGAUUUCAGAGAGUAUGGACCACCGUAUGGCUAAAGGAGAUGUAAUUCUUGACUGUCGUUGUCCUUGCUGUGUUGCUGCCAUUUUCCUGGCGGUAAUCUGUGCAGUGCGGAGACUUGAGUGUGACCACUGUAGAGCAUGCCUUGUGAUCAAUUGUUCACUUGUUGAGAUAUUUUUCUCCACGCCCGUUUUGUCGCUCUAAUUUCUGAUUUUAGCUACGUAGGAGUUUUGAUGAAUUUAAUCUUCUCCGCCGUGCGUUCUGAGGGCAGAAUUACAUGGUAGUUUCCAACGCUGGUUGGCAAGAAAAAAGUUAUGUGGUGAUUUUGAGAUAUUUUCUCCUACCCGUUUUGUCGCUCAAAUUUCUGAUUUU
rnacentral:lncRNA from 1 species